rnacentral:rRNA from 1 species
AUAUUACUAAGGGGAGGAAAAGAAACUAACAAGGAUUCCCCCAGUAACGGCGAGUGAAGCGGGAAGAGCUCAAAAUUAAAAUCCGCUGGUCUAACAGCCUGCGGAGUUGUAAUCUAGAGAGGCUCUCUCAGUGCCAGCCUGGUUAUAAGUCCCUUGAAACGGGGCAUCAUAGAGGGUGAGAAUCCCGUCUUUGAGCCGGAGCUAAGCGCGUACGAGGAGUUUUCUAAGAGUCGCGUUGCUUGGGAGUGCAGCGCUAAAUGGGUGGUAAAGUUCAUCUAAAGCUAAAUACUGGCGAGAGACCGAUAGCGCACAAGUA